rnacentral:lncRNA from 1 species
GCUCCUGGCCCCCAAAUUCCGGCCACCUCCGAGCCCUGGCCCGAGCACCCUCCUGCACCGCUCCCUCCCGCCCGCACGCCGCGCCUACGAGCUUCUGCGGCCGCGGCCCAACCUUCGCCCGACCCGCGCCGCCGGCCCACGGGAGCCAAAUUCCGGCGGCCGGCGGCCUCUCCGCUCCAUCUUGGACCACACACCGCCUUGUCGUCGUCUCAAUUUCGUCGGAAUCGGCGAUUUGAGGUUCAAUUUUGUGAUUGAUUAGGGGUUGAUUAGGGAGAGACGGGAAAGAUGGGGAAAGAAAAAGAUAAGAGAGAGGAAGAAGGUAUCUCAGCUAAAAAUAUGCUCUUUUGGGUAUUUGUUUUUGGGUAUCCUGAAAUAGUUGGACACAUUUUGAAUACCCAAAUUUUUUCUCAGCCUCACUCAUAACGGGGCUGGGUACCUAAAAUAUGCGUAUAUGCUCAAGACGUAAACACGAAGAACCACC